rnacentral:rRNA from 1 species
GACGAACGCUGGCGGCGUGCUUAACACAUGCAAGUCGAACGGAAAGGCCCCUUUGGGGGUACUCGAGUGGCGAACGGGUGAGUAACACGUGAGUAACCUGCCCUUGACUUCGGGAUAACUUCAGGAAACUGGGGCUAAUACCGGAUAGGAAUCCUUGCUGCAUGGUGGGGGUUGGAAAGCUUCGGCGGUUUUGGAUGGACUCGCGGCUUAUCAGCUUGUUUGUGGGGUAGUGGCUUACCAAGGCUUUGACGGGUAGCCGGCCUGAGAGGGCGACCGGCCACAUUGGGACUGAGAUACGGCCCAGACUCCUACGGGAGGCAGCAGUGGGGAAUAUUGCACAAUGGGCGGAAGCCUGAUGCAGCAACGCCGCGUGCGGGAUGACGGCCUUCGGGUUGUAAACCGCUUUCAGCAGGGGCGAAGCUUGUGGUGAUGGUACCUGCAGAAGAAGCACCGGCUAACUACGUG